UCAAAUGGCAACUAAGAGGGGGGGUGAAUUAGUUGAAAACUAAAAACUCAAGUAAAAUUAAAUCAAGAUAAAAAUUGCACAACCAAAUAAAAGAAGAAAAUGAAACUCAGAUAACACAGAUGAUUUAUCCUGGUUCGGCCCUUCUGCCUACUCCAGUCCGGUCCUUCUUCUCCUCGAGGUACCGAUUUCACUAUCACUUGGCUUUUUGAAUAGGGCAAGACCAAAGCCGCUUACAAUCACACAAAACUUCUUUUACAAUCUCUCAAGAAGCUCACAAUUACAAAUCAAUGAACAAUUAGGACUUAGAGAAUUUUUCUGAAGUUGUGUCACAAACAACAUCCAAGCCCCCCUUUAAAUACACUAGCCAUCAUUUCAAAAAUGGAACAAAAGCAUAAUUAAAUUAUAAUUGAUUUCAAUUUGAAUUUUAACCAUAUUUGCAAAUGCAUUUGAAUUAAUUCCAAAAUAAAUUCGAAUUCAUACCACAUUUGCAAAACAUUUGAAAUAUUACUAUAUUGAAAAGCUCAUUUGAAAUUAUACUAAAUUUAUAAAAUUCAAAUUCAUACCACAUUUGCAAAACUCAUUUGAAAUAUUACUAUAUUUUUUAAAUUCAUACUAUAUUAAAAUCAAAUUUGAAAUUAUACCAUACAUAAAAUCACUUUCAUACCAUAUCAAAAUAAUGGCUAAUUUGACAUUAAGCUCAAAUCAAACCCAAAGGUGAAUUGGUCAACUUGACUAGGUUGACCGGCUCAAAUCCGAUAAAUUGUAAAGAAGUCCUCCAAAUUUUUGUUGUGGCACUUGUAUCCAAUUUGGUACAAUUUGAUCUUGUCCGGGCCAAUUUGAAUAAUUUGAUUGAAUUGUUACCUUUGAUCAAUUCCGGUUCAGCUUGAGCCACUUUAAAUUCAACUAUAACCUGAAAUUGCUAAAUGACAAAUUAAAUCCAAUAUUUGUUUGUUAUCAUCAAAAUUUAUUAUUGGAUAAAAUCCAACAAUCUCCCCUUUUUUGAUGAUGACAAACAAUUUGAAAAGAUAAUAAAGAAAUAGAUAAACUCCCCCUCAAAAUAAGCAUAAAAAAUCCUUCAGUUAAAGCGAAAGAAACUUUAAAAAAAAACUAUUGAGAUAAUCUUUUCUUCUCCCCCUUUUGUUAUCAUCAAAAAAAUUAAGUUAAAAAGAUGAAGGAGGAUAAGACAAAGAAAAAAAAUAGAAAGCCUUAUACCACAAAACAACGGUCGAAACGAAAGGAAAACCAUAGCGAUAAGAAUCCACAAAAAGUACAAAAGAGAAUUUAACAAGUGGUAUCAGAAAAAACUUACAAAGUUUCAACAUCUAACAUUCCUAUUUCUCUGCGAAGGCAAUCAAUUUUUUCAAAAUUGAGUGGUUUUGUAAAAAUAUCAGCUAAUUGCCGAUCAGUUUCAACAAAUUCCAAAGAUACGUUCUUUUUGUAUACGUGAUCACGUAAAAAUGAUGUCUUAAAUCAAUAUGUUUAGUUCUACCAUGUUGAAUAGGAUUUUUAGAAAUAUUGAUUGCACUAGUAUUAUCACAUCGAAUAGGAGUGUUAAAAAAUUGAAAUCCAAAAUCACUUAAAGUUUGUUGCAUCCACAAAAUUUGUGCGCAACAACUUCCGGCAGCUAUAUAUUCAGCUUCGGCCGUUGAAAGCGUUACAGAAUUUUGCUUUUUGGAUGACCAGGAUACAAACGAGUAUCCUAAAAAAUGACAGGAUCCGCUUGUACUCUUUCGAUCGACUUUACAACCCGCAAAGUCGGCGUCAGUAUAACCGACUAAAUCAAAAGAGCCUAUCCUAGGAUACCACAAACCUAAGGUUAAGGUGCCCUUAAUAUAGCGAAUUAUCCUUUUGACCGCAGUUAAAUGCGAUUCUUUAGGAUUCGCUUGAAAACGAGCACAAAGGCAAACAGAAAACAUAAUAUCAGGGCGACUAACAGUUAAAUAUAAUAAACUACCUAUCAUACCUCUGUACAAGUUAGUGUCAACCGAUUUGCCUGACUCGUCCUUCUCUAAUUUUGUUGUUGUACACAUCGGGGUAUUUGUAGGUUUUGCGUUGUCCAUUCCGAAUCGCUUAAUGAGGUCACGAGCAUAUUUUGCCUGGCUUAGAAAGAUUCCAUCAUGCAUUUGUUUUAUUUGAAGUCCAAGAAAAUAGUUUAGCUCGCCAACCAUACUCAUUUCAAAUUCAGUCUGCAUCAACUUAGCAAAUUCUGUGCACAAUAUUUCAUUAGUAGCACCGAAAAUAAUAUCGUCAACAUAAAUCUGAACAAUAAGAAAAUCAUUGUUAAACUGUUUAAUAAAUAAUGUGGUGUCAACUUUGCCGAUCCUAAAAUUUUUUGAAAUUAAGAAUGAGCUUAGCCUUUCGUACCAAGCCCGUGGUGCUUGUUUCAAACCAUAAAGUGCUUUAGAGAGUUUAAAAACAUGAUCGUGAAAAGUGUAAUUUUCAAAUCCCGGUGGUUGUUCAACGUAAACCUCUUCAUUAAUAAAUCCAUUUAAAAAUGCGCUUUUUACAUCCAUUUGAAAUAACUUUAUAUUUUUAAAAGAAGCGAAAGCGAGUAAAAUUCGAAUAGCUUCAAGUCGGGCUACCGGUGCAAAAGUUUCGUCAAAAUCUAUUCCCUCUUGUUGAUUGAAACCUUGAGCCACUAAUCUGGCUUUGUUUCGAACCACGACACCAUCUUCAUUUUUCUUGUUUCGAAAAACCCAUUUCGUACCAAUUACGGGAUGGUCAACGGGUCUUUCCACAAGUGUCCAAACUUGGUUUCUUUCAAAUUGAUUCAAUUCCUCUUGCAUAGCGAUGAUCCAAUUUUCAUCAUUGUAUGCUUCAUCAAGGUUUUGAGGCUCAAUUUGAGAGAGAAAAGCCAAGUUGUUGCAAAUGUCUCUAACGGAGGCUCUAGUGUGUACACCAUCUGAUAAAUUACCGAUGACUUGAUCAAGAGGAUGAGAGGACUUAUGCUUCCAAUUUCUUGGAAUAAUUUCAUCAUCUUUAGAUGGCUUUUCACCUUCUUUAGAUGUAGUUUCAAUAUCAUUUUGUGAUGAUUCAAGUGAUUUAUUAUCUUUUGAGGUAGAUUGAAUAGAAGUCCUACUCAUCAUCUUUUUCAAUUCAUCGACUUCUUCAUCAUAUGAGUCCACUCCAACGUUAGAUUCAUUAAACAGAACAUGCAUACUCUCUUCUACUACUAAAGUACGCCGAUUAUAAAUACGGUAUGCUUUACUAGUAGUUGAAUAGCCUAGAAAUAUACCUUCAUCAGAUUUAGCAUCGAAUUUUCCCCGAUGGUCCUUAGUAUUUAAAACAAAACACUUACAACCAAAAACACGAAAAUAUGAAAUUUUGGGAGGUUUUUCAUUCCAAAGCUCAUAAGGAGUUUUGUCCAAAAUAGGUCGAAUAGAAACACGAUUUAAAAUAUAACAUGCCGUAUUGACGGCUUCGGCCCAAAAAUAAGUAGGUAAAUUAUUUUCUAAAAGCAUUGCACGAGCCAUUUCUUGAAGCGUCCUAUUUUUCCUCUCAACAACUCCAUUUUGUUGAGGGGUUCUAGGAGCCGAAAAUUCGUGCUUAAUACCAUUGAAAGAACAAAAAUCAUCAAAAUCCCGAUUAGAAAACUCACCACCAUGAUCACUUCGAAUUUUUGAAGCUUUCAAAUCCUUUUCGUUUUGAACUCUUUUAAUAAAAACUUUAAAAGAUUCAAAAGCUUCAUUUUUAUGCGACAAAAAUAAAGUCCAAGUAAAACGAGUAAAAUCGUCAACAAUCACAAAAACAUAAUUUUUGCCGCCUAAACUAGUAAUAUUAAUAGGGCCAAAUAGAUCCAUGUGAAGGAGUUCUAAUGGCCUAUUAGUAGAAACGGCAUUUUUAGGCUUAAAAGAGGACUUGACAUGCUUUCCUCUAGCGCAUGUGUCACAAAAUCUAUCUUUCGAGUAGUCAAGUUUAGGGAGACCCUUAACUAAUUCUUUUCUCGAAAGUUUAGAUAGGACAUCCAUGCUUGCAUGUCCAAGCCUCCGGUGCCAUAACGAAAAAUCAGUAUCCAAAACCGAAAAACAAAUCUCUUUACUUGGGGAAAUCGUGCUUAAAUUGAUUGUGUAUACAUUUCCAGUUCUACAACCUUUAAACAUAAUACAAUUUGAGUUAGAGUCAAUUAUACUACAAUGGGUUGAUUCGAAUUUAACGAUCAAUCCUUUGUCACAUAGUUGACUAAUACUCAAUAAAUUAUGUUUAAGUCCUUCUACUAAAUAAACAUCAUUAAUUUUAAAAAAAUUGUUACCGAUUGAGCCUUUUCCAAUGAUAUGACCUUUGGAGUUAUUUCCAAAAGUUAUGCACCCACCCUCUUCAUACUCAAGCGACGAUAAAUUUGUUGGGUUGCCCGUCAUGUGUCUUGAGCAUCCGCUGUCCAAAUACCAUUUGUCGCUUGACUUUGUUGAGUGCAGGCAUACCUACAAAAAAUUUAAGUUAAGAAGGGUACCCAAGUGGAUUUGGGUCCACUUGUGUUAGAACCUUUCACCACCCAAAGUUGUCUAAGUUUAAACUUAUUUUUAAAUUGACAUUGGGUUACAUGAUGCCCUAUUUUGUUACAAUAGGUGCAUAACACAUUUUUAUUGCCAUUUGCAUAUUUUACAAAUGGUUUAGAAAUAUUUUUCUUUUGACUAGACUUGUGUUGAUAUCCAAGUCCAGUUUUAUCCAAAUAGGAUCUUUGAUUACCCAACAUCAUAUUUAGAACUUUUGUGCUACCAAUGAAUCUUUCUAAAGUAUUUCUUGAAUCGUUCAAGUCUUUCUUUAGAGAUUCAUUUUCAAUUUUAAAAGAACUAGUAUCUUUAUAAUUUUCGCCAUCACUUUUGGUCUCAAUUUGCUUCUUUAAUGAAUUUAACUCAGUUUUUAAACUUUUAUUUUCAGAUUUUAAUGAAUUUAAAUUUGAGAUUAAAGAUGUAUUUUCUUUUUUUAAAGAAGCAUAUUUGGGACCAAAUUUUUGGAGAUCAUCAUAAAGAUCAUAAAAAGCUUCCAAAAGUUCAUCGUAAGUUAAAUCAUUUACCUCAUCUUCUAUGUUUGCCAUGAAGCAACAAUUCGAAGGUGCAUCGUCAUAGGUAAGGCUUAAAUUGGAGACCUCCUUGGUUGAUUCCUCCUUGUCGGAAUCGCUAUCAUCACUCCAAGCGGCGGAGAAGGCUUUAUUCUUCUUUUUCUCCUUUCGGGGAGACUUGCUUUGAUUUUGGCAAUCAUAACUUAUGUGCCCUGUUUUAUUACAAUUGUAGCAUUUUACAUCCUUUUUGAAAAAAUGUGAUCUACCAUUACCUUUGCCGGACCACUUAUCUCCGUGUUUUCUUUGUAUGAUCUUCUUUAAUUUUCUGGUAAGAAGUGAGAUCUCGUCGUCAGUCGCAUUGUCGGAGUCGCCUCCAUCUCCCUCGUUAGAGUUGAGGGCUAUAUUUUUCGUUUCGGUAUGAAUGAUAGAAGUAGAAGGCUCCGUCUUCAAUCGUAACUCAUAAGUCAUAAGAGACCCUAUGAGUUCCUCCAAUGAAAAUUUGUCGAGGUCGCGCGCUUCUUGAAUAGCCGCCAACUUUGGUUCCCAUGGUCCAUUUUGAGGAAAACUUCUGAGUAUUUUUCUAGCAAGAUCUGCAUCAGAAAAAUCCUUUCCCAAAGCCUUUAGACUAUUAAUAAUAUUGGUAAAUCUAGUAUACAUAUUAGUUAUACUUUCAUUUGGUUGCACACAAAACAUUUCAUAAUCGCGAGUAAGCAUAUUUAUCUUAGACUCUUUUACUUGAUUUGUCCCCUCGUGAACAACGGCUAAUUUAUCCCAAAUUUCUUUUGCAGUUUUGCAUGUAGAAAUUCGGUUGAACUCGUUUGAGUCAAGAGCACAAUGAAGAGCGUUCAUCGCUUUAGAGUUCAAAUUAAAUUUACCUUUGUCCUCUGCCUUCCAUGUGCUAGUUGCCGUGGUAGGCUUAGUAUAGCCAUUUUCUACAAUGUCCCAAAGAUCAAAAUCUAGGGAUUGUAGAAAAAUUUGCAUCCGCACCUUCCAAUAGGUGUAGUUACUCCUAUUAAAGAAAGGAGGACGAGCGAUAUAUUGACCUUCAAUAGUAGCGUGAAAAGUUGCCAUCUCACGAGACAGUUAGUCUGCAACAGUGAGACCUGCGCUCUGAUACCAAAUGAAGGAUCAAAUGGCAACUAAGAGGGGGGGUGAAUUAGUUGAAAACUAAAAACUCAAGUAAAAUUAAAUCAAGAUAAAAAUUGCACAACCAAAUAAAAGAAGAAAAUGAAACUCAGAUAACACAGAUGAUUUAUCCUGGUUCGGCCCUUCUGCCUACUCCAGUCCGGUCCUUCUUCUCCUCGAGGUACCGAUUUCACUAUCACUUGGCCUUUUGAAUAGGGCAAGACCAAAGCCGCUUACAAUCACACAAAACUUCUUUUACAAUCUCUCAAGAAGCUCACAAUUACAAAUCAAUGAACAAUUAGGACUUAGAGAAUUUUUCUGAAGUUGUGUCACAAACAACAUCCAAGCCCCCCUUUAAAUACACUAGCCAUCAUUUC
rnacentral:lncRNA from 1 species